AACACUGAGAGAAAAUGAGAGAACAAUCUAGAAUAUUUGUAAUGUAUAUUAUUUAUUUUAAAUAAAAAUAGUGUUUUAAUUAAUGCCAUAUAAACAUCAAACCCUUAAUCAGCAGUAGGUCGUAAACGAAUAGAAUAAUCUCUAACACUACAUUAAGUUGCUCAUAUACCCAUGUAGUAACACUGUAAUUACGCUAACAUUACUGUAUUAAUAGGUUGUUACAUUGUCAUUUACUAAAUACUCUUUACAAUAAAUUAUAUGUAACAAUUCAUUUCUAAUUCACAAACUGUAUCCACAGCCCAGUUGUAGGGAUGAUGUAGUUACCUGCUGGCUAGCCUGGGUCAGAGUGAAAACUUGUUGGGCUGUAGGUUGGUAGGCAGAGGCAGGACAUUGGUACCCUGGGGAGGGCUGCCCAUUCAUGGAGAAUGGAGACAUCUGUGGAAUAGACCCAGGGCAACUUCAGUAUAUUUACUAUAUGAUUUCAUUUAGCUAGAGAAUAAGCACUGAUUAAUAAAACUGUUUGGAUAAAUCAUAUAUGUAUUUUUUAAUGUCAGGAUGCAUAACUUACAUUUCCGCUGUGGGGGGUGAUGACGUUAAUUCCCAGGGGGCUGUGCUGCAUGUUGCUCUGUAGGUGGAUCAUGGAUCCCUGUCCCCCUGCCAUGGUCAUGUUGUUCAGCUGAGCUGUGAGGAAGGAAGCAGUACAAAAUCCAGGUCUGUCUUCAAUCUCCACACAUCGGCCCUGUUCCAGUACUUUAGAGAUGCAUCCUUCCUCGCUUCCUCGAGGCUGCCCCCCUGCCCCUGGGAAGGCCCGUUGAAGUCUCCUCCGCCACCACCGCGACCAUCGGCCAUCUGCUGCAGCCGGGGAACAUCUACAGAUGUGAGCCAUGACAGAGACUGCAGUUCCCCAGGGAGAUCCUCUUGAAGCUGGGAGGGGUCUGUGGUCAGAAGUCUGCAGGGACGGGACACAAGCAACAAAACCACUCAGAUACACAGCCUAGCAUACAACUGUUGGAUAUAUCCAGACCUGGAUUCAAAUACUAGUUGAAAUCAGUAUUCCCAUGGAAGCAAAAAAAUAAUAAUCCCAAAAGUACAAAUCCCAAAACAAAUGUGUAAGUAGCCACUUUAUAAAUAGUAUUCAUACUAUUCAGGUCUGGUUAUAUCUAGGGAAAAUAUACAGGACACUGACUGAACAGACAUGUAUUCCAUUAAACCUAAAGUAAUGCAUCCAA